GCUGACUGUGCUGUGAGGAAGGCUCCUUCUGAGUCUGAGAGCGCCAGAGAGCGCGGCCGCCAGAGCACAGCAGGGCACAGUGGACGCUGUUCGCCCAGUCCGCGCGACACACCGGACAGAGGUUGACGGUCUCCUGCCCCUCUCCCGGCCCCCUUCAUCAACCGGGCUGUAGGAUUUCAGCCGAUCGAUCAUUGCCUGAAAAUUUAACCCAGACGGAAUUUGUUGGCCAGAGGACCGAUUUGGGGGCAACUGUGAAGGCUCGGAAGCACAGAGCGCACCAUUUGCCUUUGCUUUGCUUUUCCUUGGUUUCUUUUCGUUUGGUUUGCUGUACAUCUCGGUUUGUUUGGGUCGACAGACCCUACCAGCUCUCAGCCAGGAGUAGAGGAAGAGGAAGUGGAGUUGGCAAUGAGGAGAGCUGGUCCCCAACAGGAAGAGAGUUCCAGAGAGGCUACAGUAUGAUCUUCUUGCCCCUCUCCUCUCAGAGCUCAGCUGACCAGUGCCCAGUUGGACCUCAACCAGGAAGUUGGCUCCCCUCGCCCCUCCUGGGCAGGACCCUCCCCGUUUCCUUUGCUGGAACCUCACCCUCCCCCAAAAGCAUUUUCUGGCUGAUUGCCUUCUGUCAGCCCCAAAGUGCUUCAGUGAAAUGUGCCUGCCUGUCUCUGCUCCUUGUGAGAUCUACUCUCCCUCUGGACUUCUGAAACCGGUUCUGUCCUGCAGGCACUGUUGAUCGGGCAGACUUUUCUGCUCACCUAAGAAGAGUGCAAUUUCGCAGCUCCAAGAUGCAAGCCAAUCAAUUGAGUGGACUGUUCUGCAAUUCAGCAUCGCCCCUCCCACCAGGAACAGAGGCACAGGCAGCCUGCUGAAGCGUGAGGAUUGCGGAGCUCGCCUGCAGGGGGCGAACAAGAGCAAGAAACCUCCCCCAUUGAGCAAGAGGUUUUUGCUGCUUCAAUGGUUCACUGACAAAUACAGAGGCAGGUGUUCUCUGCCUGCCACUGGACUGAGCUUGGUGACUCCAAGGAAGGAGUUAGUGAAAGGACUAAAAGAGCCUGAUAGUCUCAGGGGCCUCUGUGGUAUCCAGUUCCAGACUGUCCAUAGCAGGGUUAUCUGUGCUCACACACCACCAGAGCCAAGAGAGAAGCCAAGGGACAGGUGUGGUUGUUUCUGGCAAGAGAUGGGCUACACGGUGUGUGCCUCAACCCGAGAUGUUGGCUGAUAGCCAGUCUCCAGGCAAGAGCCAAUUCUCAGGCACUCCCAGUUCCUGAGAGGUGGAGCCCAAAGCUCAGAAGGAUGGACAUCCCAGCAGCCCCACAGAGAAGAGGAGAGUGCAGCACUUCAGAGGCUGAGAGAUACUGCAGAAAGAGACAGCCCUGCUCAGCUGCCCUGUCUUUUUCCCAGUCCACUUUUUGGCUAUGGGAGGGGACUAGUGACAGUUUCCUUGGUGACACUAGGCUUCAGCAGAGGUAAAGAACCUAGAAGGCUGUCCUAGAAGGAAACUGUGUAAUCACCAUUUGGAUUAAAUUCACAGUACCUCCAGACAAGGAACAGGAACAUAAACAAAACUUCCAAACAAGGCGUAUGCCCAUUUCUGGGUACCCACAAGAAAAGUCACAAAGGACAGAAAGACAUUUGACAAUGAUUUGCAGAGGAGAAAUUCAUCUCUGAUUGUUUCCAGAGGAUGCAUCAGUUCUUUGAUUUUGGCUGGAUGUCCAGAAAGACUGAAGAGUCUCGGAGUCUCAGAAGGGGCAAGAGCCUCCAUGCCAAGGCAAGGAAAAAUUCAGGAGCCCCAAGACAGGAAAUCACAGUAAGCCAGCCCCAGAAGACAAUUUUAAUUAUAUAGACAGCCUUUUACUGCAUUAAACAAUGAGAAAUUCCAUUUCAUAUCUCUUAUGAACAAGGAAUAGACUUGAGGGGAUGGAAACACUACUUGAAAAAGCCAUUGUAGUACUUAUUGCAACUGUGACCAUCAUAACAAAGCCCUCUCUACUUUUAUUCACAAUCUUUACAUAUUUUCUCUCAAGAAAGUCAGAAAAAAAUAGCUGUACCAGAAGAAAAAUAAGCUAUGACUGUAGAAAGGCUUGAAAGACAAAAGAUAGAGGAAGUAAGAGAACAGGGAAUGCUUAAUUAUGAACCUAUCGUAACUAAUAAAAUUGAGGCUCAAGGCAGACAACCUAUUGCCAGUGAGUAACAAGUCCGGCUCUCUGGUGUGGACAGUUUCUAAUCCUGAGGAGUUGUUUAACGCUAUCAGCUGAGGGUCCCCCAACACCUGAGGCUCAGAGCUGUAACAUUAGCAGCUGAGUGUUGAAAUACUGGCACUCCAGACCUAUAAGGCUGAAAGCAGAGGGUCCUAACUCCCUUGGUGUUCCUGAUAGUAAGGGAGUUUUGUUUUUCCCGCUUAUCUUUUUCCAUCAAAAUAAAGCAAAGUGUUCUCAAUUGGUGGUGCUUGCAUUGUGAAAAUGUGGCUCCUAUUAGGAGCCAACAAGUAGAGGCUAAAAACUAGCGGGUGAUCUUCCUGAGAUGAGUCUGCCUUGGGCCAAACAUAUUCAAACUAUCCAGGAGGUAAAAAAAAAAAAAAAAAAAAAAAAAGUAUAAUUUAGGGCUGCAGAGAUAGCUCAGCGGUUAAGAGCACUGACUGCUCUUCCAGAGGUUCUGAGUUCAAUUCUCAGCAACCACAUGGUGGCUCACAAUCUGUAAUGGGAUCCAAAGCACUCUUCUGGUGUAUUCAUAUAUAACAAAUAAAUAAAUCUUUAAAAAAAUAGAAUGUCGGAAAGGGCGGUGCAGAUCUUCCUGGUUGCUGCCACCGCGGAGAGCUCGUGGGCAGCACCCCACGAGCAAACUUGAGCCUCGGGACCACAGGUAAGACCAACUUUUCUGCUG
rnacentral:lncRNA from 1 species